AAAAGUUAUCUGUUGAAUUCUCCAACUGAUUGAUUAGUGUUUCGAGUGAUUUUGCUAAAAAAUAAUACCUAGUGAGAAUUAUUAGAUUGUAUUAAAGGACUUAAAACAUUUAAUUUAGAUGGUGAUCCAUAUUCAGCAUCAGCAUCACUGUUUAAAUAGCUUGGAUGGAUGAAACAAAAACAACAACCACCACAAAAUAGUGAAACAAAUAAGAGGCCCUUCAGGAGAUUCAACCGUAAAUGCACCAGUAAAAGACAACAAACCAUCCUGUCAAGAUUGUAAGAACAAUAAGUGCAAAGCAUUCAAAGAAGAGGAGAUUCAACAAGUGUUAUCAUCAGUCAGAGGUAAUGGUACAUUAUAUUAUAAACUUAAGUUUACCGAUAAAAUCAAGAAACACAGAAUGGUAUUUUCCAUGCAAGGUCCCAGCAAAACUAAUACGAGAAUUUCAUGCACAACGUACAAUGAGUGGUAAGAAAAGAAAAUGGCCAUUACAGCAGAAUAAACACAAAUUUUCCACAAAACCAGAUCCAGCUGUUAAUAGUGUACAAUAUAUUUCAACUAAAGUCACAGCCGACAUAAGCACUCAAACUGAAACCAUCAAUGGACAAGAUCAAAGAAUUGAACAUCAACAGUUAUUAAUUAGCCAUAAGAAUUGUUAACAACCGACCAUACUUUUUAAUUAAAUCUAGAAAUACUGCAAAAUAUGAAUCAAUGACUUCAGCACCAAAUACUGCACGACAAGUUUUAAUAGAUCAUAAGGAACGUUUCAAACAAGCUCUUUUACAACAAGACAUUCAUUAUGCUAUGGAGAAAAGAUUAUAAGGAAAGGAAAAUCAACGUGACUGCAGUUUUCAAAUAGCUUCCGAUGGAAAAAUACAUGAAAUUAGAUACAACAUAGAUGGGAAAAUAGAAAAUUUAUCAGGAUACAGGAAUCCAGUCAUUGCACCAGAGUGGGAUACGUUUGAUAGUCUGUCAAAUGCGUCAAUUAAUAACUUUAUAAAUGUAUUAGAAACACAGUACAAAAUUGAAAUAAGUAUGAGGAGAAG
rnacentral:lncRNA from 1 species